rnacentral:rRNA from 1 species
CGUAGGGGCGAGCGUUGUCCGGAUUUACUGGGCGUAAAACGCUUGUAGGCGGCCACGCCAAGUCGGACGUGAAAUCUCCCGGCUUAACUGGGAGGGGUCGUUCGAUACUGGCGGGCUCGAGGCAGGUAGGGGGAAGCGGAAUUCCCGGUGUAGUGGUGGAAUGCGUAGAUAUCGGGAGGAACACCAGUGGCGAAGGCGGCUUCCUGGACCUGUUCUGACGCUGAGGAGCGAAAGCGUGGGGAGCGAUCCGGAUUAGAUACCCGGGUAGUCCACGCCGUAAACGGUGGGCACUAGGUGUCGGGGGUAUCGACCCCUCCGGUGCCGCAGCUAACGCACUAAGUGCCCUGCCUGGGGAGUACGGCCGCAAGGCUA